rnacentral:rRNA from 1 species
AUUGAACGCUGGCGGCAUGCCUUACACAUGCAAGUCGAACGGCAGCACGGGGCAACCUGGUGGCGAGUGGCGAACGGGUGAGUAAUGCAUCGGAACGUACCUUUCAGUGGGGGAUAACGUAGCGAAAGUUACGCUAAUACCGCAUAUUCUGUGAGCAGGAAAGCAGGGGAUCGCAAGACCUUGCGCUGAUUGAGCGGCCGGUGUCAGAUUAGCUAGUUGGUGAGGUAAAGGCUCACCAAGGCGACGAUCUGUAGCGGGUCUGAGAGGAUGAUCCGCCGCACUGGAACUGAGACACGGUCCAGACUCCGACGGGAGGCAGCAGUGGGGAAUUUUGGACAAUGGGGGCAACCCUGAUCCAGCCAUGCCGCGUGAGUGAAGAAGGCCUUCGGGUUGUAAAGCUCUUUCGGCCGGGAAGAAAUCGCACGGGCUAAUACCCUGUGUGGAUGACGGUACCGGAAUAAGAAGCACCGGCUAACUACGUGCCAGCCGCCGCAGUAA